UACGGGGGGGGCAAGCGUUGUUCGGAAUUACUGGGCGUAAAGGGCUCGUAGGUGGCCAACUAAGUCAGACGUGAAAUCCCUCGGCUUAACCGGGGAACUGCGUCUGAUACUGGAUGGCUAGAGUUUGGGAGAGGGAUGCGGAAUUCCAGGUGUAGCGGUGAAAUGCGUAGAUAUCGGGAGGAACACCAGUGGCGAAGGCGGUUGCCUGGAGCUUUGCUGACGCUGAGGCGCGAAAGCGUGGGGAGCGAACCGG
rnacentral:rRNA from 1 species